AUGGUGCUACCACAAUAAAAAGGUGCUACCACAUGUUAGUCUGCUACUAAGUUUUGCUUUGUACUCUACGUUUAUAUAUUUAAAGCCCAUUUGAUUCAAUUUCAAGAAUAGGCAUCACAUGCAAUCCUAGUACAACAGACUGAUUCAAGCAUUUGGUUGGGUUUUUGUAAUGUAAAGUGGAUUACAUUUUGUAAUCAUGAUUACCUCAAGUGAUGUAUUGGGAUUGCUAGCUGAGACUCAUGAAUAAGAGUGCAAACCUCUUAUAAUCAAGUGAAAAAGAUAUUAUUGCCCUUAUAAAAUUUCAAAUUGACUGGAUUGUCCCUACUGAAAUAAGGCCCAUAAACCCUAUUAAUCGCUACCCACCAUAUAUUUACUGCUAACAUUGUCUUCUUCACUGCCGCACUAACAGAGGUCAUUGCUGCUUGAUUGUCAUUGUUCUAAGGAAUCUAUGGCGAGGUUGAGGACAUUUAGAAAGACGUGCAAGGUUGUAUCUAAGAUGGUGACUUUUGGCUUUAUAUGAGAUCCCAACAAGAAUUAUGUCACAGCUGAAGAUCAUGCAUGGUCUGAAUUUGUGAGGGUUAAUAAGCUAGCUGGAAAUUUUAGAAAUAUAAGGUUACACUACUUUGAAGAUCUAUCAUAUGUUUUGGAGUGAGGACCAUACACCUGGAAUGGGUGCAAAAUUACCUCCACCUUAUGUUGAGAAUGAUGAAGAAGAAGAUUAAACAACUGAAGCUGAGAUCCACGCCAAAUAAUUAAAAUACAUGAUAUUUUAUUCAUAUCAAUUAUCAAGGCAUAGUAUAGUAUGCAUUAUACGUCUUUUGUUAGACAUAACCAUCAUAUUUUAUAGGAUGAAGUUAUUAUAAGUCCUUUUUUUACUAUUGUGGCUCAUACUUUUUAUUUGGUUGGGACUGUAUUUUUUACUUUGAUUAAUG